rnacentral:rRNA from 1 species
AUGCACGCUGGCGGCGUGCCUAAUACAUGCCCGUCGAGCGAACAGACGAGGAGCUUGCUCCUCUGACGUUAGCGGCGGACGGGUGAGUAACACGUGGAUAACCUACCUAUAAGACUGGGAUAACUUCGGGAAACCGGAGCUAAUACCGGAUAAUAUAUUGAACCGCAUGGUUCAAUAGUGAAAGACGGUUUUGCUGUCACUUAUAGAUGGAUCCGCGCCGCAUUAGCUAGUUGGUAAGGUAACGGCUUACCAAGGCGACGAUGCGUAGCCGACCUGAGAGGGUGAUCGGCCACACUGGAACUGAGACACGGUCCAGACUCCUACAGGAGGCAGCAGUAGGGAAUCUUCCGCAAUGGGCGAAAGCCUGACGGAGCAACGCCGCGUGAGUGAUGAAGGUCUUCGGAUCGUAAAACUCUGUUAUUAGGGAAGAACAAAUGUGUAAGUAACUAUGCACGUCUUGACGGUACCUAAUCAGAAAGCCACGGCUAACUACGUG